GACGAACGCUGGCGGCGUGCUUAACACAUGCAAGUCGAGCGGUAAGGCCCUUUCGGGGUACGACGAGCGGCGAACGGGUGAGUAACACGUGGGUGACCUCGCCCUCCAGCUCUGGGAGUAAGCCUCGGGAAACGUGGGUCGUAAUACCGGAUAUGACUCCAUGACGCAUGUCGUGGGGUGGAAAGCCUUGUGCGGCUGGGAGUGGCCCGCGGCCUAUCAGCUUGUUGGUGGGGUGAUGGCCUACCAAGGCGACGACGGGUAGCCGGCCUGAGAGGGCGACCGGCCACACUGGGACUGAGACACGGCCCAGACUCCUACGGGAGGCAGCAGUGGGGAAUCUUGCGCAAUGGGCGAAAGCCUGACGCAGCGACGCGCGUGA
rnacentral:rRNA from 1 species